rnacentral:rRNA from 1 species
GGUCAGGACGAACGCUGGCGGCGUGCCUAACACAUGCAAGUCGAGCGGGGACAUAUUGACGGAACGGAAGUUUCGGAUGGAAGGGAAGAUGAUGUGUUCUAGCGGCGGACGGGUGAGUAACGCGUGAGCAACCUGUCCUCACAGGGGGAUAACACAGCGAAAGUUGUACUAAUACCGCAUGAGACCACGGCGGGACAUCCCGCAGGGGUCAAAGGAGCAAUCCGGUGAAGGGUGGGCUCGCGUCCGAUUAGAUAGUUGGUGAGGUAACGGCCCACCAAGUCGACGAUCGGUAGCCGACCUGAGAGGGUGAUCGGCCACAUUGGGACUGAGACACGGCCCAAACUCCUACGGGAGGCAGCAGUGGGGAAUAUUGGUCAAUGGAGGCAAACCUCUGAACCAGCAAUGCCGCGUGAGUGAAGAAGAUCUUACGAUCGUAAAACUCUAAACUUAGGAACGAUAAUGACGGUACCUAAGGAUAAGCCCCGGCUAACUACGUGCCAGCCGCCGC